rnacentral:rRNA from 1 species
AGGGAAUAUUAGGCAAUGGGGGCAACCCUGACCCAGCGACGCCGCGUGAGCGAUGAAGGCCUUCGGGUUGUAAAGCUCUAACACGUAUUAAGAAGGGGCUGUAGGCUAAUACCCUAUGGUCUUUGACGAAGGUACGAGAUGAAGCCAUGGCUAACUCUGUGCCAGCAGCCGCGGUAAUACGGAGGGGGCUAGCGUUGUUCGGAAUUACUGGGCGUAAAGCGCACGUAGGCGGCUUUGUAAGUUAGAGGUGAAAGCCCAGGGCUCAACCCUGGAAUUGCCUUUAAGACUGCAUCGCUUGAACAUCGGAGAGGUAAGUGGAAUUCCGAGUGUAGAGGUGAAAUUCGUAGAUAUUCGGAAGAACACCAGUGGCGAAGGCGACUUACUGGACGAUUGUUGACGCUGAGGUGCGAAAGCGUGGGGAGCAA